rnacentral:rRNA from 1 species
GAUGAACGCUAGCGACAGGCCUAACACAUGCAAGUCGAGGGGCAGCACAUGAGUAGCAAUACGAUGGUGGCGACCGGCGCACGGGUGAGUAACACGUAUGCAACCUGCCUGUAAGAGGGGGAUAACCCGGAGAAAUUCGGACUAAUACCGCAUAAUACCACGAGACUGCAUGGUUUUGUGGUUAAACAUUUAUGGCUUACAGAUGGGCAUGCGUAUGAUUAGAUAGUUGGUAGGGUAACGGCCUACCAAGUCUACGAUCAUUAGGGGUUCUGAGAGGAAGGUCCCCCACACUGGUACUGAGACACGGACCAGACUCCUACGGGAGGCAGCAGUGAGGAAUAUUGGUCAAUGGGCGAGAGCCUGAACCAGCCAAGUCGCGUGAAGGAAGAAGGUUCUAUGGAUUGUAAACUUCUUUUGCAGGGGAAUAAAGGACGGUACGUGUACUGUUUUGUAUGUACCUUGCGAAUAAGGAUCGGCUAACUCCGUGCCAGCAGCCGCGGUAA